rnacentral:lncRNA from 7 species
CUAAUCAGUCUCCAUAUCAAAUACUAUACCUAGAUUAUCAGAUAAUAUACCCCGUGCAGUAGUUUUGAUUAAUUAACCCCUGUGAACAAUAAUAGUGUGAAAGUAGAAAAGUGGCGCUAUGGAAUUAUGGAUACAAUGCAGGAACACCUUUAAGUUCAAAACCAAAUGGCAGAAAAAGGGUUAACCAAAGAGCAACUUUGCUUUAAACUCCUACCUGUGACCAUCCUGAGCUAGCAGUGUUUUUUACAGUUCUGAUGAGGAACAACAGUUGAUGAAUAGGCUGGCUGAUUGGCCAUCUCUUGUUCCUCCAUCGUCCUAGCUAUAGCUAGCAUUUGCUCAAACUCAACCAUGCAUCUCCAAUAUCUUCAUUCUUGAUAGGACACUGGCCCAACCCCAGCUGGAGUACUAGUACUAUGAUAAGCCAUCGUCAUUGCCACCGCUGGUGGAUGAAGAAUGGAAUGCAGAAACGGUGUUCAUCGGCCAACUUGAAUUGCCACUGCCAGUGCCACCACCACUGCCGCUGCCACCAGCAUUUCCAUCCCAAACACUGUGUGAUCCUGAUCCGUGGUGUAGAGCUGUCGUGUACUACUUCUGUAAGCUCGCGUCUUGUCCUUUGCUAUCAUCCCCCAUCUUCAUUGCUGACCCUUC